AAGUCGUAACAAGGUUUCCGUUGGUGAACCAGCGGAAGGAUCAUUACAGAGUUCAUGCCCUUACGGGUAGAUCUCCCACCCUUGAAUAACAUACAUUGUUGCUUUGGCGGACGCUUCGGCAGCCGCCAGAGGACCCUAAACUCUUGUUUACAGUGUCGUCUGAGUACUAUAUAAUAGUUAAAACUUUCAACAACGGAUCUCUUGGUUCUG
rnacentral:misc_RNA from 1 species